CGGGGCCGGGCCGGGGGCGGGGAGGGGGUGGUCCUCGGGAAGGGGGGGGCGGCGCGGGCCAGUGCGGGCCGCGGGCUGGGGUGCCAGGCAGAGGGGGAACUGGGGCGACUGCAGGGCGGGCUGGCACCGGGCACGGGCGGGCGCUCCAGAGGGAAAAGCCAACAUGGACCCUGAGAAAAGUUGGCGGUUCUUUGGGGACCCCCAGCGCCGCCUGGCACGGACCCCCUACUUGCCCCCUCCCUUGCCCAGGCUCCCUCCCUGAACGAACCCCUCGAAUUUGUCCUGUGUGGGCCUUUGUUUCCAAGAAAUUCCUAAUGUGCCUCCCAAUAAUUCACCUCUGAAAUCGUGGUAAGAACCCCUUCUCACAGAAGAGGAAACUGAGUCCUGCAAAAGUUCAGCAGCGCUUGAGAAGUCCGACGAACAUGGCCCAUGGGAGAGCCUCAGUAAGUCCCUGCUGAACCCAAUGGAAAGGAAUGUACCCUGCGGAGCCCCCAUCGGAGGAUCACCACGUUCAGUUCCCAGCGGCACAUUUUAGGAAGAACAUUGAUAAGUUGGACCGAGUCCAGAGCAGGGCGACCCGGAUGGAAGAGGGCCCCACGAGGACCGGGAUGGGGAGGCCUGAGAGCAGCUGACUUGGGGAGGUCCAACUCAUUGUCUUCCAGUCUUCCGUAGGUUUUUACUCGGGAGUUGAGCUCUGCUCUAUCUCGGAAGACAGAAUUAGGAACCAAAAAUGAUAAGUCCCAUUUCUUUAUUUCUAUAAGAGUUGCAAAGCACUUGAUGCCUUCUCUAUCUGUUUCCAGGGUGGGAGGCCUCCUGGGACCCAUUGACAACCCAGUGUUUUUUAUUAACUUAACAAAAUGAUUUUUUCCCCCUUUACAAAAUAACGAAGGAUUUAAAGGUGGAACAAAUCCUACAAAUGGGAUUUUCAAACGGAAGGAACAUCCUCAUUCCAUCCAUUAAAAAAUCCUAGGAGGGGGCGCUACGAUGAUCCCCAUUUUACGGAGGAGGAAACUGUGACCCAAAGAAAUUCGGCGAUUUGUUCAGGGUCGAGCAGACCAUGAGGAGUCUUGAAGUGGGAUUCAAGCCCAUAUUUCGCCUUAUUCAUUUCCUUAUUCCUCAAACCUUGCUGGAGUGUAUAGAGGUUGUGUGGGGUAGACUGGUUUGGACUGGAUGGAAGGAAAACUCCCUAACGAGUAGAGCUCUGCCAGAGUGAACCUUUGGCCCCAGGGGGUGAUGGGCACCCUCGCCUGAUGAUCUUGCAACAGAGGCCGGGAGACCAUUUGUCAGGGGAGUGGUAGAGGGAGAGAGGGUCGGAAAAUAUUCAUCGCUAAUGGAUCCACAAGCAUUUAUUAAGCGUCUACUGCGUGCCAGAUACUGAGAACACAGACCAAAGAAAACAAAAAAGCGGCCGGUCUCUAUCUGGAAGAGGCCGGGAUUCCACCGCCGGAGAUAACAGAAAAUUGCGGCCCACGGGAGAUUCAUGGAACCAUAGAGAGACAGGAGCAGAGGCCUUCGGAGGGACCCCAGCUCUGUGUGGCCUUGGGCAAAUGGCUUCCUGUGUCUGGCUCACCUCCUUUUCCUCCCCUGUACCGGGAUGGGGCGAGAUUGGAUGGCCGGUCUCUAGCGUCACCUCCAGUGGGAUUCGGGAGUAAGCUCGGGGUCCUUCGGCCUGCAGGAGAACAGCCUUCCCCAAGCAGCUGGCGCACCCCAGCCAAGAGUUGGGGGCAUUUUAAGGAUCUUGCUUUUUCUUGAGAAACCGAGACCCAGAGGCGGGACGAUGCCCCGAGUGACCCGGGUUUAAGCUUCAGAGGCAGAAGAUUUAAAGGCAGGUUCUCUAAGUGCGAAGCUGGUGGGACGUCCCGUUCAGCAGCCUCUCUGUUGUCUUUCAGAGUGUCCAACUCCCACCAGACUUUGAAGUCCUUGGGAGCAGGGACUGCCUUUGGUCACUCUUUGUAGUUCCACUGCCUAGCCUAGUGGCUGACACAGAGUAGGAACUUAAUAAAUGCUUGCUGACUGAC